rnacentral:rRNA from 1 species
GGGGAAUAUUGCACAAUGGGCGCAAGCCUGAUGCAGCGACGCCGCGUGAGCGAAGAAGGUUUUCGGAUCGUAAAGCUCUGUCCUCUGGGAAGAAAAAAUGACGGUACCAGAGGAGGAAGCCCCGGCUAACUACGUGCCAGCAGCCGCGGUAAUACGUAGGGGGCUAGCGUUGUCCGGAUUUACUGGGCGUAAAGGGUGAGUAGGCGGUUUUUUAAGUCAGAUGUGAAAGGUACCGGCUCAACCGGUAAUAUGCAUUUGAAACUGAAAGACUUGAGUAUUGGAGAGGCAAGUGGAAUUCCUAGUGUAGCGGUGAAAUGCGUAGAUAUUAGGAGGAACACCGGUGGCGAAGGCGGCUUGCUGGACAAAUACUGACGCUGAGGUGCGAAAGCGUGGGGAGCAAACA